GGAGAAGAAUGUAGAAGAUGAGAUAUUGGGGUUGGUUGAAGAUACAGAUUUCUUGGUCCUUGCUAGAUACAUGCAGGUGUUGUCUGGAAACUUUUUGAAAAGAUAUGGGAAGGAUGUGAUCAACAUACAUCAUGGCUUAUUGCCAUCAUUCAAAGGAGGAAAUCCAUCUAGGCAGGCAGGUUCUGUGUUCCAAUUUCCAAAUUCUGUUUUAAGCUUUUUAUGUUUUUAUGUUUUUUACUGGAGAAUGACAGGCUUUUGAAGCUGGGAUCAAAUUGAUUGGUGCCACAACCCAUUUUGUCACGGAGGAGCUUUAUGGGGGCCCAAUCAUUGAGCAGAUGGUUGAGAGAGUCUCGCACAAGGAUAAUUUGCUGAGUUUUAUUUAGAAAUCUGAGAAUCUUGAAAAACAAUGCCUUAUGAAGGCAAUCAAGUCAUAUUGUGAGUUACGCGUUCUACCUUAUCAACACAACAGGACUGUUGUAUUUUGAGUAAGCUCAAAAUGAUGCUGAUCAAAACUACAGAGUCCAUUAUAUUCCUUGUGUUGCAAAGUUUUUGUAUUUCAUUUUAAUUAUUCAUUCUAAUUUAAU